rnacentral:rRNA from 1 species
UGGGGAAUAUUGCACAAUGGGCGCAAGCCUGAUGCAGCGACGCCGCGUGGGGGAUGACGGCCUUCGGGUUGUAAACUCCUUUCGCUAGGGACGAAGCUUUUUGUGACGGUACCUAGAUAAGAAGCACCGGCUAACUACGUGCCAGCAGCCGCGGUAAUACGUAGGGUGCGAGCGUUGUCCGGAAUUACUGGGCGUAAAGGGCUCGUAGGUGGGUUGUCGCGUCGUCUGUGAAAUUCCGGGGCUUAACUCCGGGCGUGCAGGCGAUACGUGCAUAACUUGAGUACUGUAGGGGUAACUGGAAUUCCUGGUGUAGCGGUGAAAUGCGCAGAUAUCAGGAGGAACACCGAUGGCGAAGGCAGGUUACUGGGCAGUUACUGACGCUGAGGAGCGAAAGCAUGGGUAGCGAACAGG